rnacentral:rRNA from 1 species
ACUCCUACGGGUGGCUGCAGUGGGGAAUAUUGGACAAUGGGCGAAAGCCUGAUCCAGCCAUGCCGCGUGUGUGAAGAAGGCCUUUUGGUUGUAAAGCACUUUAAGUGGGGAGGAAAAGCUUGUGGUUAAUACCCAUAAGCCCUGACGUUACCCACAGAAUAAGCACCGGCUAACUCUGUGCCAGCAGCCGCGGUAAUACAGAGGGUGCAAGCGUUAAUCGGAAUUACUGGGCGUAAAGCGAGCGUAGGUGGUCAUUUAAGUCAGAUGUGAAAGCCCCGGGCUUAACCUGGGAACUGCAUCUGAUACUGGGUGACUAGAGUAGGUGAGAGGGAAGUAGAAUUCCAGGUGUAGCGGUGAAAUGCGUAGAGAUCUGGAGGAAUACCGAUGGCGAAGGCAGCUUCCUGGCAUCAUACUGACACUGAGGUUCGAAAGCGUGGGUAGCAAACAGGAUUAGAUACCCUGGUAGUCCACGCCGUAAACGAUGUCUACCAGUCGUUGGGUCUCUUGAAGACUUAGUGACGCAGUUAACGCAAUAAGUAGACCGCCUGGGGAGUACGGCCGCAAGGUUAAAACUCAAAUGAAUUGACGGGGGCCCGCACAAGCGGUGGAGCAUGUGGUUUAAUUCGAUGCAACGCGAAGAACCUUACCUGGUCUUGACAUAGUGAGAAUCCUGCAGAGAUGCGGGAGUGCCUUCGGGAAUUCACAUACAGGUGGUGCAUGGAUGUCGUCAGCUCG